ACUGCUUCUCAGCCUUUAGGCUAAGAUCGAGUGUAGUAUCUGUUCUUGUCGGUUUAAUAUCCGAUACAUCCUCUAUCCGAGGACAAUAUGUCAAAUGGAGUUUUGGAGCAGGGAGAUGGAAUAGGAGCAUGCUCUAUCCACUCCAUGCAUUGACCUGAUAUCGCAGUACUCUGGGAAUGGUGUACCCCCU